rnacentral:snRNA from 1 species
UUACUUACCUGGCCGGGGAAAUACCAUGAUCACCACAGUGGUUUUCCCAGGACAGGAGAUAGUCACUUUGCUGACAUGGGUACCCUCCCAUGUUCAUUUUCCGUGGAAGAUCUUGGCUUUACACUCACUUUAUGGAAAUGAGAGACUCCUCUCU